GGCCACGUCACGUUGAAACACCGAUUCCCGUACAAUCUCCGAAGUUAAGCAAUGUUGUGCUUGGUCACUACCUAGAUGAGUGACCGCGUAGGAAUAACAGGUGCUGUAAG